AAAUGUGAAUGGAAACUAGAAACAAUUUGCACACAAAAUACUAUUAUAGAACUCAACGAAAGAAAAUUUCUCUCAGGGAUUUAAUGUCGCUCGGUGCAACACAAAGAGAAUGGAGAUCUGAUACCAGCUCGGCGGAAAUGCAACAGGUUGUAAUUAAGUUACAUCUGGUUUGAUCUAGCUACAUGAAACAUUGGUUGUGCUAACAUUUGGAAAUCGGACUUUCCAGUUCUUCAUAACUGUAAUCAUCCUUGUUUGUCUGCAAAGAAACAAACUUUUUAAUUUAUUAUAAGAUUCUUCCUUUCAA